CAAAAUUGUUUAAAAAGGCAGAAAACUGUGUCUAAGUUUUCUUCUGGACUUUCUGUGACUGUUAAUAAUACUACCAUGUCAGUAAAUAUCAAAUCAGGAAAAUAUCAAGUUCAUAGAGGAGUAAUGCUAUCACCCUGAGAACUGUGAGAAUCCUAGUGUGUCUAGGAUAAAUAACAAGAUUGAAAUGGCACUGCCUAGACAGG
rnacentral:lncRNA from 1 species